AACCCGUGAUGAGGAAAAUCUCUCUAAUAUCCCUUGAACCUUUCCCACGCAGCCUUGAAUGCUUCUGUUGGACCUUGAAUGAAUGUGGAGAUCUUGGCUCGCAGAUU
rfam:Arabis alpina cultivar Pajares chromosome 2, whole genome shotgun sequence.